CAGUCGCCACGGGAAUACGUAGGUGGCAAGCGUUGUCCGGAAUUAUUGGGCGUAAAGGGCUCGCAGGCGGUUUCUUAAGUCUGAUGUGAAAGCCCCCGGCUCAACCGGGGAGGGUCAUUGGAAACUGGGAAACUUGAGUACAGAAGAGGAGAGUGGAAUUCCACGUGUAGCGGUGAAAUGCGUAGAGAUGUGGAGGAACACCAGUGGCGAAGGCGACUCUCUGGUCUGUAACUGACGCUGAGGAGCGAAAGCGUGGGGAGCGAACAGGAUUAGAUACCCGGGUAGUCCCUGUCUCUUAUAC
rnacentral:rRNA from 1 species